rnacentral:rRNA from 1 species
UACGUAGGGGGCUAGCGUUGUCCGGAUUUAUUGGGCGUAAAGAGCGUGUAGGCGGCCAGGUAGGUCUGCUGUGAAAACUCGAGGCUCAACCUCGAGAUGUCGGCGGAAACCAUCUGGCUAGAGUCCGGAAGAGGAGAGUGGAAUUCCUGGUGUAGCGGUGAAAUGCGUAGAGAUCGGGAGGAACACCAGUGGCGAAGGCGGCUACCUGGACCAGCACUGACACUGAGGCACGAAAGCGUGGGGAGCAAACAGG